rnacentral:rRNA from 1 species
UACAGAGGGGGCAAGCGUUGUUCGGAAUUACUGGGCGUAAAGGGCGCGUAGGCGGCCUGCUAAGUCGAACGUGAAAUCCCCGGGCUCAUCCCGGGAACUGCGUCCGAUACUGGCAGGCUCGAAUCCGGGAGAGGGAUGCGGAAUUCCAGGUGUAGCGGUGAAAUGCGUAGAUAUCUGGAGGAACACCGGUGGCGAAGGCGGCAUCCUGGACCGGCAUUGACGCUGAGGCGCGAAAGCCAGGGGAGCAAACGGG